rnacentral:rRNA from 1 species
AAACGUAGGGGGCGAGCGUUGUCCGGAUUCACUGGGCGUAAAGGGUCCGUAGGCGGCCUGCUAAGGCGGACGUGAAAGCCCCCGGCUUAACCGGGGAAUUGCGUCCGAAACUGGCAGGCUCGAGCCCGGGAGAGGAAGGUGGGAUUCCCGGUGUAGCGGUGAAAUGCGCAGAUAUCGGGAGGAACACCAGUGGCGAAGGCGGCCUUCUGGCCCGUGGCUGACGCUGAGGGACGAAAGCCAGGGGAGCGAACCGGAUUAGAAACCCUAGUAGUCC